rnacentral:rRNA from 1 species
CGAGCACGCGCGUGUGGCAUAUCAAUAAGCGGAGGAAAAGAAACUAACAAGGAUUCCCCUAGUAACGGCGAGUGAAGCGGGAAGAGCUCAAAUUUGAAAUCUUAAAGGGUUUCCCUUGACGAAUUGUAGUUUAUAGAAGUGUUUUCUGUUAGUGGAGUUCGGUAAAAGUUCUUUGGAAUAGGACAUCAUAGAGGGUGAGAAUCCCGUAUUUGGUCAUUCCUCCUAGCGUUGUGAUACACUUUCAACGAGUCGGAUUGUUUGGGAAUGCAGUCCAAAAUGGGUGGUAAAUUUCAUCUAAAGCUAAAUAUUGGCGAGAGACCGAUAGCGAACAAGUACCGUGAGGGAAAGAUGAAAAGAACUUUGAAAAGAGAGUUAAACAGUACGUGAAAUUGUCAAAAGGGAAGCGUUUGACACCAGUGUUGUUUAGUUGAAAAUCAAUUUAAUAGUUUUUGAUUUUAAGUAGUAUUGACUUCAUCAGCUUGCUGCUUUUUUCUCAGAAAAUUAUUGAAUGCACUUUUCAGUUAACAAGUCAACAUCAAUUUCUUUUGUUGUAAAAGGGUAAGAGGAAGGUGGCUUGCGCUUCGGCUCAAGUGUUUAUAGCCUUUUAUCUUCUGCAAUCGGAGAGAUUGAGGUCUGCAGCGUAGACUCUUCGGGGUUAGAUACAUUGAGUGCUAAGCUAUAGCCUUGUAUAGACAACUUGUUGACUAUGCUCAGUCAUGUAGCUUACUCGUAGAUGCUAUUUUACCUACGCUUAGGAUGUUGAACUCUAUCACACACAG